rfam:Myotis lucifugus cont2.16734, whole genome shotgun sequence.
UUUUUAGUGUAAGUAUGUCCCGGGCAAUGUUUGGGACAUACUUACACUAAAA